rnacentral:rRNA from 1 species
GACGAACGCUGGCGGCGGGCCUAAUACAUGCAAGUAGGACGCAGUUGCGAACGGGUGAGUAACGCGUAGGUAACUACCUAUUAGAGGGGGCUAAAUAUUGGAAACGAUAGCUAAUACCGCAUACUAGUAGAUGGACCUGCGUUGUAUUAGCCAGUAGGUCGGGCAAUGGCCUACCUAGGCAACGAUACAUAGCCGACCUGGGAGGGUGAUCGGCCACACCGGGACUGAGACACGGCCCAGACCUCUACUGGUGGCCGCAGUAGGGAAUCUUCGGCAAUGGGGGGAACCCUGACCGAGCAACGCCGCGGGAGUGAAUAAGGUGUUCGGAUCGUAAAGCGCUGUUGUUAAGGAAGCGGUACUUAACCAGAAAGGGACGGCUAACUACGUGCCAGCUGCCGCGGUAAUUC